rnacentral:rRNA from 1 species
GGGAAACUCACCAGGUCCAGACAUGACUAGGAUUGACAGAUUGAUAGCUCUUUCAUGAUUUUAUGGGUGGUGGUGCAUGGCCGUUCUUAGUUGGUGGAGUGAUUUGUCUGGUUAAUUCCGAUAACGAACGAGACCUUAACCUGCUAAAUAGCCCGGCCGGCUUUUGCUGGUCGCUGGCUUCUUAGAGGGACUGUCUGCGUCUAGCAGACGGAAGUUUGAGGCAAUAA